CUGAAUAGGAACAGCUCUGGUCUGUAGCUCCCAGCAAGAUCAACGCAGAAGGCAGGUGAUUUCUGCAUUUCCAACUGAGGGAGACACCUCCCAGCAGGGGUCGACAGACACCUCAUACAGGAGAGCUCCAGCUGGCAUCUGGCAGGUGCCCCUCUGGGAUGAAGCUUCCAGAGGAAGGAACAGGCAGCAAUCUUUGCUGUUCUGCAGCCUCUGCUGGUGAUACCCGGGCAAACAGGGUCUGGAGUGGACCUCUAGCAACUCUAGCAGACGUACAGCAGAGGGGCCUGUUAGAAGGAAAACUAACAAACAGAAAAGGAUAGCAUCAACAUCAACAAAAAGGACGUCCACACAAAAACCCCAUCCGAAGGUCACCAACAUCAAAGACCAAAGGUAGAAAAGUCCACAAAGAUGAGGAAAAACCAGCGCAAAAAGGCUGAAAAUUCCAAAAACCAGAAUGCCUCUUCUCCUCCAAAGGAUCACAACUCCUCACCAGCAAGGAAACAAAAAUGGACAGAGAAUGAGUUUGAUGAGUUGACAGAAGUAGGCUUCAGAAGGUAGGUAAUAGCAAACUCCUCUGAGCUAAAGGAGUAUGUUCUAAUCCAAUGCAAGGAAGCUAAGAACCUUGAUAAAAGGCUACAGGAACUGCUAACUAGAAUAACCAGUUUAGAGAAGAACAUAAAUGACCUGAAGGAGCUGAAAAACAUAGCAUGAGAACUUCAUGAAGCAUACACAAGUAUCAACAGUCGAAUUGAUCAAGCGGAAGAAAGGAUAUCAGAGAUUGAAGAUCAGCUGAAUGAAAUAAAGCGUGAAGACAAGAUUAGAG
rnacentral:lncRNA from 10 species